rnacentral:rRNA from 1 species
CCUACGGGAGGUAGCAGUGAGGAAUAUUGGUCAAUGGGCGGGAGCCUGAACCAGCCAAGUCGCGUGAGGGAAGACGGUCCUAUGGAUUGUAAACCUCUUUAGGCGGGGAGCAAUGCCGGGCACGCGUGCCCGGAGGGAGAGUACCCGCAGAAUCAGCAUCGGCUAACUCCGUGCCAGCAGCCGCGGUAAUACGGAGGAUGCGAGCGUUAUCCGGAUUUAUUGGGUUUAAAGGGUGCGUAGGCGGAUUUUUAAGUCAGCGGUAAAAUGUCCGGGCUCAACCCGGGCCGGCCGUUGAUACUGGGGAUCGUGAGGGGGCGAGAGGUAUGCGGAAUGCGUGGUGUAGCGGUGAAAUGCAUAGAUAUCACGCAGAACUCCGAUUGCGAAGGCAGCAUACCGGCGCCCGACUGACGCUGAGGCACGAAAGCGUGGGGAUCGAACAGGAUUAGAUACCCGAGUAGUC